AGGACGAACGCUGGCGGCGUGCUUAACACAUGCAAGUCGAGCGGAAAGGCCCUUCGGGGUACUCGAGCGGCGAACGGGUGAGUAACACGUGAGUAAUCUGCCCCUAGCUCUGGGAUAGCUCCGGGAAACCGGGAUUAAUACCGGAUACGACCACCUUAGACAUCUUUUGUGGUGGAAAGAAUUUCGGCUAGGGAUGAGCUCGCGGCCUAUCAGCUUGUUGGUGGGGUAAUGGCCUACCAAGGCGACGACGGGUAGCCGGCCUGAGAGGGCGACCGGCCACACUGGGACUGAGACACGGCCCAGACUCCUACGGGAGGCAGCAGUGGGGAAUAUUGCGCAAUGGGCGAAAGCCUGACGCAGCGACGCCGCGUGGGGGAUGAAGGCCUUCGGGUUGUAAACCCUUUCAGCAGGGACGAAGCGAAAGUGACGGUACCUGCAGAAGAAGCGCCGGCUAACUACGCGCCAGCAGCCGC
rnacentral:rRNA from 1 species